GGAGGUGUGGCUCCAUGGUAGAGUGUGCAUGUAGCAAGCACAAGGUCCUGGGUUCAAUUCCCAACACCCG
rnacentral:tRNA from 1 species